rnacentral:rRNA from 1 species
AUGAGGCAGUAUUAAUGGGGAAUUGAAAAAGGAAAGAGAAAAAUAGCUUGGCUAAGUUGGGAUAAAAUGCGUCUUCCAAAGUCUAAGGAUGGUACGGGGUUUAAAGAUAUGCGGGCUUUUAAUCAAGCCUUGUUAGCUAAACAGGCUUGGCGAUUAAUUGAAACUCCGGAUAGUUUGUAUGCUCAUCUGCUUUGAGUGAAAUAUUACCCGAAUGAGAAUCUUCUGGACACGGUAUUUUCAGGUAAUUCUUUGGUUGUUUGGAAAGGUAUUGAAUAUGGCCUUCAACUAGUGAAAAAAGGUUUUAUUUGGAGAAUCGGUAAUGGGUCUAUGGUGCGUAUAUGACGUGAUCCUAGGAUUCCAAGAGGUAAUGAUCUUAGACCAAUUACUCCGAAAAGGAAUUGUCACUUUAAUCAUAUUUCGGACUUUCUGUUCAACAUGGAGCAUCCCCAACAACUUUUUUGGGAUGUAAAUGUGCAGCAAAUUCUGAGAAUACGUACAUUACCAACAAGCCAGGAAGAUUUUAUUGCCUGGUUUACGAAAAAGUCUGGACAGUUUACUGUUAAGAGCGCCUACAAACUUGCUACUAAAGAACAUGACAAUUCAUUUGCAGGAGGGGCUUCAAGUAUGUGUCCAGAGGGAGACCGAUCCAUAUAGAAUUAUGUUUGGAAGGCUAAAGUUCCUCUUAAAAUGUGUAUCGCGGCUUGGAAGGCCGCGUCAGGUGCCUUUGCCACUGAUCAAAACAAGUUAUACCGACACAUUUGGUACUACUGA